CUUACGAACCCUAGUUCCAUGCCAAUCGAAGACACUGAUGGAACCUAACCCUAAUUCCGCCUUCCUCCGUCGCUCUUCACCACCAUGACCUUUGCCUUCUCUCGCUUCUUCUUCUUCUUCUUCGUCUUCUCAUCUUUUGAGUUCCACUGGAGCUUUCUCAUCUCUGCUAAACUCUAGAAGUCGUCGAUGUCUGAGUCUUACACCUGGCUUGAAGAGAUAAGGUUAAAGAGGAUGUUGGUUACUGAUGAAUUCUUAGAACUCAUCACUAAAUCGUUUAUGAAUUUCGAAGUUGUCGUGCUCUCUUCCUGUGAAGGUUUCUCCACUGAUGGUCUCGCUGCUAGAGCUUCCUCUUGAUUCUUACUUCAUUUUUCCAGAAAUAAUAAGGUAAAGGAGGAGAUAGAAUACUUAUCCUUCAUCUUGUUUUUUCUUUCUCAAUCAGUUCUGCCUUCAUUGGGUAACUAAGACACCAAGGUCGAGUAAGAGAUAAGGUUAUUCUGAUAACAUGGAGACUAAGAAUGAGAAUCAAGCCAACGAAGCUUUUAAAGAAUUGGCAGGUGCAUAGGAGAGUUUCAUGGAGUUCUGGAUAUCAAGACUCUAUCACUUUGCUCCAACAUCUCUGGUCAGAUUCUGUCCAGUCUCGUCAUGAGCCCACCCAAGGUAUAAAACAUGUAUAUCUUGCCCAAGGAGAGUCCAAGAAAGGUGGUUGCUAGUGGAUCAGUCUCAUCUGUUAAGCAUCUUGCAGUAUGGUUAGAGGAUCUGUAAGGUGAUGGUGUUGUUUUCGACCAGCUUGAACAUUUGGAGCUUGCUACAACAGUUGAAUGUCCACACUGGAAAGUUUUUGUUGAUGACGUAUGUGUUUGUUUCUGAAACUCUUCAAAUGAUGGAGAGGAGUAACUUGCUAAGUACACACUCACGCUGAAGAUUAUGUUAAGUAGAGGUGGCAAUGAAGAUUAUGUUUAGAUUAGUUGAGGUUUAUUUUUUUAUUUGUAUUUUAG